rnacentral:rRNA from 1 species
UACAGAGGUCUCAAGCGUUUGUUCGGAUUCAUUGGGCGUAAAGGGUGCGUAGGCGGCGCGGUAAGUCGGGUGUGAAAUCUCGGAGCUUAACUCCGAAACUGCAUUCGAUACUGCCGUGCUUGAGGACUGGAGAGGAGACUGGAAUUUACGGUGUAGCGGUGAAAUGCGUAGAUAUCGUAAGGAAGACCAGUGGCGAAGGCGGGUCUCUGGA